UACGAAGGGGGCUAGCGUUGUUCGGAAUUACUGGGCGUAAAGCGCGCGCAGGCGGUCUUCCAAGUCAGUGGUGAAAGCCCGGAGCUCAACUCCGGAAUUGCCAUUGAAACUGUUAGACUUGAGGAUGAGAGAGGUGAGUGGAAUUCCCAGUGUAGAGGUGAAAUUCGUAGAUAUUGGGAAGAACACCGGUGGCGAAGGCGGCUCACUGGCUCAUUACCGACGCUCAGGCGCGAUAGCGUGGGGAUCAAACAGG
rnacentral:rRNA from 1 species